GGCGGGAGGAAAAGAGAAAAAGGGAAGGGGAGAGAGCAAGAGAGAAGAUCUGAGGAUCUUGGUUUUAGGAAAGGACCUGAGUGAUCACUCCCCCUAAUAAGAAUUUUUGUCCUAAAUUAUCCUAGGGUUGAUCAUUUGCCCCAUCCUUACAGCCACCAGGGAAAGUACCAUAUAGAAAAAGGGAACAAAGAAUAAAUAGGAGAGAACAUAUCAUGGGAGUGGUACAGGAUAGAGUAAAAAGGAUUCUAGGAGUUAGGGUAAUCACAGAAGGAAAAUAAGACAGGAAAGAGUCAAGGUUAAGGGGACAGGUGAUGAGCAAGAAAGAGGGGAAAAAAGGAAUUGAUAGGUGAAACCUGAAGCCCUGACUCUUUUCUUGGAACAGAGAAAUAAAGGAAGCAGAAAGAAGUUUUGCUAGUAUCUGGGUUUGAAAUAUUUUCCCAAUUUUGUAUCUUUUAAAGACCUAGUACUGGGACCAGCUGAGGUCUGUCCAAAGGAUCAAGAUAAUAUAAGAGAAAUAUACAGUCAUCUUAGCAUCUAUUUCAUAUCUUCUAAAGCGUGGAAGAAACCACGUUCUGUCUCUGAAGAUGAACACACAGACACACACACACUCAAACUCACACAAAUUCACCUGACCUUGGCCCAGCUCUUUUGCUCCCAGUUCAACACAAUGCAAAGCAUAGAAGAGUUAAUAAAUGUGUGCUGAAUAAAUAAAUACUUCACACAUCCUGAAGAACCCUAGAAAGGCAAAUGGAGAAUGAUUACUUAGACUGUGGUGUGAAGGAUGGAUCAUGGUGGGAAAAACUGGAGGCAGGAAGAUAAGAAACCUAUUUACAGUAGGCCAAAAUGAGAGGUAAUCAGAGCCUGGACUGGGGGGGAGUCAGUGGGAGUAAAAAAAAGAGGGAGAAUCUUCCAGAUAUUUAAGGGGGUGGAUUUAGCAGGACUGGGCAACUCAUUGAGUGUGGGCAGCAAAGUCAAGGUAAGAGUCAAAGAUGACUCAGGUUUCAAGCUUGGGAGAAUGGUAGAAUGAGACAAUCAUAGAUUUAGAGAUGAAAGGCAUUUUAGAGACCAUUCAGUACAAAAACGUACUUACAGAUGAGGCCAAAGCUAAUCAGAUGAAUGGAAACAGAAUUUGAACCCAAAUCCUUUCGUUCCAAGACCAUUGUGCUUUUCCAUCAAUUCCCAUCCAUGUACAACAUAACUUUUCAGGAGAAAUAGAGAGGUUAGGGAAAAGAUCAGGUUUGCAGGGGAAGAUAAGUUCUGUUGUGUACCUUUUGCUUUGGGCCUUUUAGAUUUCUAAGUUCAUGAAGGGAGUACUUAGUGUGAUUCCAUCCCAGCUAAUCAACACUACCAUUUUCUUUGGUAGGCUAUGACAAAGAGUGUUAUAUGGCACUGAAGAUCUUUGGUAACUUUGGGAGUUUUCUUCUGAAGAUCUCAGCUCCUGCAGAGGAAGAGGCCAGAGAACAAAGAUGUCCCUGUAUCCUUAGUAACGAGGUUGGGUGAGGAAGAAAGAAUUUGUAUAGGAGAAGGAAAGACAGACAGA